GGUCCAGGGUAGGCUAAAAGGCUCAAUUAGUGAAGCAGUUCAUAGACAAAGUUUUGCCGGAGUAAUUCUUUGAUCAACUUUGUGUGUGGAUCAACAUUGGAGGACUCACACUUGGAAAUCUUAUAGAAUCGAUUACCGGCUUCUUCCCUUUCUUCAUCGACUUAAUAGGUAUGAGUUUUAUAUCUAUUAGUUAUUAUUUACUUUAUAG
rnacentral:lncRNA from 1 species